rnacentral:antisense_RNA from 1 species
AGGCAUCCAACCAUGAUGAGGUACCUUGUUGAACAAACUAACUCUGCCACUAAGAACGAUGAAAGCUGUUUAAAAAAAUAAAUAAGUCUGUUGAAAACAAUUGGAGAGCAACCCUGUCAUCCAAGGCUUGAGAGUCCACGAGCCCCCCAGGAAGAAGAGAAAUACUCUGAAUGUCAGUACGGGGUCUAUCACAUAGUGGAAUUAAUGAGGAAACAGACUCAAAAAGGAUUUUGGCUUGCUCAGGGUCACACAGCUUGUAUGAGGCAGUGCUGUAAUUCAAAGCCAGCAAGAACCAUGAAACAGGUCUUAUAAAAAGAAAAAAAUUACAAUUCUGGAGGUGACCUAGUUGGAAGCCUGAAAUUCCAUGUUGUGAAACAACUAGAGGCCGGCCCUCUGAUCCUUUCUCUGGAUGUGCUGAAUUCAGCAGGGUGGAAGUGCUAAAACCAGGAGGAGCAAUGAAGUCAGUGUUGAGAAGAACAUGCAGCUGAGAAGCCAAGUGGGAGACCGGGACACUGCUCUGAUUGAGGAUAAUGUAUGUUACACUGUACCCACUCCGUUAAGCACAAUAAAUCUCCUUUUUCUUG